rnacentral:tRNA from 1 species
AGGUAUAGAGCUCAGUAGUAGAGUGUGUGCUUAGCACUCACAAGGUUCUGGGUUCAAUUCCCAGUACCUCCA